rnacentral:misc_RNA from 1 species
AACGGUCUAUACCUGCGGUACCUGCGGAAGGAUCAUUACAUGGCGGAGGAGGUGGGCACCUAGUAAAACAAAACCCUAGGUGUGUUGCCUACCACGCUUUCUACCCUUGUCUAUUUGCACCUUUUGUCGUUCCCUCGGUGGGUCUUGAACCUGCCGGCGGCAACUUUCAAAAACCUUUUGUAGUUAGUAUCUAAUUCUUCUGAUCAAAUAUUCAAUCGUUACAACUUUCAACAACGGAUC